GACGAACGCUGGCGGCGUGCUUAACACAUGCAAGUCGAACGGAAAGGCCCUGCUUUUGUGGGUUGCUCGAGUGGCGAACGGGUGAGUAACACGUGAGUAACCUGCCCUUGACUUUGGGAUAACUUCAGGAAACUGGGGCUAAUACCGGAUAGGAGCUCCUGCUGCAUUGUGGGGGUUGGAAAGUUUCGGCGGUUGGGGAUGGUCUCGCGGCUUCUCAGAUUGUUGGUGGGGUAGUGGCUUACCAAGGCUUUGACGGGUAGCCGGCCUGAGAGGGUGACCGGAAACAUUGGGACUGAGAUAAGGCCCAGACUAGUACGGGAGGCAGCAGUGGGGAAGAGUGCACAAUGGGCGGAAGGCUGAUGCAGCAACGCGGCGUGGGGGAUGAGGGGCUUCGGGUUGUAAACCGCUUUCGCGUGGGACGAAGAGUGAGUGACGGUAAUGGGUAAAGAAGCAACGGCUAACUACGUG
rnacentral:rRNA from 1 species